AUGCACUACACUCAUAUCAAAAAACAAAAAGGAGUGAUUCUCAAACUUGACUUUGAGAAAGCCUAUGACAAAGUCAAUUGGGACUUUUUGCUAGAAUGUCAUGUCAAACGUGGUUUUAACCAAAAAUGGUGUGGAUGGGUAAAUCAGAUCCUAAGGAAUGGGACGGUUAGUGUUAAGAUCAAUGAUGAGUUAGGACCAUAUAUACAGAGUGCUAAAGGGGUCAGGCAAGGUGAUCCACACUCUCCAUUCCUGUUUAAUCUUGCGGCAGAAUGCCUAACUAAGAUGAUG
rnacentral:rRNA from 1 species